rnacentral:lncRNA from 1 species
ACAGAAGAUUGAAUCAGCUGAUGAAGGGUCUGAAACAUUUCUACUCUUAAUGACUAGGGUGUUCCUAGGGACAUCAAUUGGCUUCUGGAUUUAAAUAGAUAGUCUUGUGCUGUUGCCCAGGCUGGAGUGCAGUGGCCCGAUCUUGGCUCACUGCAACCUCUCGCCUCCCAGGUUCACGCCAUUCUCCUGCCUCAGCCUCCUGAGUAGCUGGGACUACAGGCGCCCACCACCAUGCCGGGCUAAUUUUUUGUAUUUUUAGUAGAGAUGGGGUUUCACUGUGUUAGCCAGGCUGGUCUCGAUCUCCUGACCUCGUGAUCUGCCUGCCUCGGCCUCCCAAAGUGCUGGGAUUACAGGCGUGAGCCACCGUGCCCGGCUGGAAACAUUUUUAAAUGAUAAAAGAAAUGUAAUGAAGGAACUCAGCAAGACUUAGCCACCUAUAAAAAUUACUGUUAUAUAAUGAGAAAAUAGAUAUAAAAAUAGUAGUAAAAAGAUAAAAAUUCAUCAUAAAUAUUAUCUUUUACCUUUUCUUUUAUG